ACCUGUGGGAGAAAUGAUUUGCUGCUACAGUUUCCAAUAACAAAACAAGGCUUCUCUUUUCUCUGCUGGAGGCUGUUUACUUUCCAACUUUUGGAGGCAAUGACCUUGUUCUUCUUGCCAGAAGCCCAAGCAAGAGGUUUGAAGAAAAUUUUACUUUCCCCGCGAAGCUUUGCCAAGUGAAGGAAUAACUAAAUCUAAACUACGCCAGUUUUCAUCGCUGUGGAGAGGAAAUGAAUGAAAUUUACAAGAUCUCUUCAACUGAGAGGAUCCAGCAGGUGGAAAAAGAAUUAGCUGCACAGCUGAUUGAAUUGAAGACAGAAAUAGAGGGAAAUCGGGGACUACAAGAAACAGUGUACUGCUCUGUUCCCUUUCCAAAAGAUGUUGAGUACUUCAGAAGAGAAAGGGAGUUGGCACUCAAUAAAUGUUUACAGGUUGCAGAGGCAAAGCCUCUUGUAAUUCAAGCUGAUGUCAUACAGAGGGAGUUAGAGAGCUGUCUAAAAAGAGAAUAUACAUCUGAAACCUUGCCUUUAUUGCUACACCAGUUUUUUACAGACAGAAUUACACAAUUGGUGCAGAGCAAAUACUUGCACAUGCUCAGAUGGAAAAGGUUUUGUCAGCACAGCAGUGUUGUUGAACAGUUCUAUUCGCUCUACCAGAAACAAGUGGCUCACAUCAUGGAGGAGUAUGAUGAUGCUGUUCAAAGAGCUGUGAGACUGUCAAGUGCACGGGAGAACUUCCUGACAGGAAAGACAAAUCCUGGCAAUUUAAUCACCCAGGAAGACCUGGCAAUUUACACACAAUGGCUCAUAUGUCACCUCCACUCACUUAAGACUAUUCACAACUACCUCAAGGUACUCCAAUACUUGCCUGUUUCUCACAGGAUGGAAGUGGGCAUUGACAGAGCUCCACCCUGGAAUGAUGGGGAAACAUUCAGAACCCUCCCCAAAAUGGAAUUCUUGUCCCCCAACAUUCACUUUCCUGUUUGCUCUGGGACAUCCACCACCAAUGGAACCUUGCUGAGAGAUGCAUUCUCUUCACUUCCCCAGCACAAUGCAGAAACUGAAGAACUGAAGCCUCAGCUGAGACUUUUGCUGUCUCAGUUAGGUAUCAGCUAUGAUGUGGAAGACCUCAGGCAUUCUGCUAAUGAGAUGGAACUCUUUUCCAUGGUCACACGUAAGUUUAGAAGCAUUUUCAGUGAGCAGCAGACAAUGAGGACAUUCCCUGUUUAUGAUGUUGGAAUGCCUGGAUUGGAAGCUUGGGGUAUAGCAGGCCCCCACAUGUCUUUGAAAAAGAGAGCCAAUUGGAUUCCCUAUAUAAAGAUUAAAGCUAAACAAGACCCCUGGCAACAAAAGCUCCUAAUGAAACUGAGACAAUCAAAAAAGGUGGAUGGACUCUUGCUGCUUCAGGCAAAGUUUUUAGAGGUUUCCAACAUGGAGUGGGUGAUGCAGGCUCUCCAAGAGCAAGCAACAGCGAUACCGCAGCCAAAGCCAAUGACGUCAGUUUCAAUGACUUCUUUCAAUUCACAACAAUAUGAAGAAAUCUGGGAAAAGAUUUAUUGCAGCCCAGAAUUCUACCAGGAAAAACAAACAAAUGGAGAUUAUGAUAGCCCUGCCAAGGCAACUGAUAAAAGAGUCAUGGAAGAUGGCAGCCUUAAUGAAGGGUACAGUUUUUCAAGAAAGAAAAAAGAUGCCAGGUGA
rnacentral:lncRNA from 1 species